GAGCUUGCUCCCGGAUGUUAGCGGCGGACGGGUGAGUAACACGUGGGUAACCUGCCUGUAAGACUGGGAUAACUCCGGGAAACCGGAGCUAAUACCGGAUAGUUCCUUGAACCGCAUGGUUCAAGGAUGAAAGACGGUUUCGGCUGUCACUUACAGAUGGACCCGCGGCGCAUUAGCUAGUUGGUGAGGUAACGGCUCACCAAGGCGACGAUGCGUAGCCGACCUGAGAGGGUGAUCGGCCACACUGGGACUGAGACACGGCCCAGACUCCUACGGGAGGCAGCAGUAGGGAAUCUUCCGCAAUGGACGAAAGUCUGACGGAGCAACGCCGCGUGAGUGAUGAAGGUUUUCGGAUCGUAAAGCUCUGUUGUUAGGGAAGAACAAGUGCAAGAGUAACUGCUUGCACCUUGACGGUACCUAACCAGAAAGCCACGGCUAACUACGUGCCAGCAGCCGCGGUAAUACGUAGGUGGCAAGCGUUGUCCGGAAUUAUUGGGCGUAAAGGGCUCGCAGGCGGUUUCUUAAGUCUGAUGUGAAAGCCCCCGGCUCAACCGGGGAGGGUCAUUGGAAACUGGGAAACUUGAGUGCAGAAGAGGAGAGUGGAAUUCCACGUGUAGCGGUGAAAUGCGUAGAGAUGUGGAGGAACACCAGUGGCGAAGGCGACUCUCUGGUCUGUAACUGACGCUGAGGAGCGAAAGCGUGGGGAGCGAACAGGAUUAGAUACCCUGGUAGUCCACGCCGUAAACGAUG
rnacentral:rRNA from 1 species